UUCCGGUUGAUCCUGCCGGACCCGACUGCUAUUUGGGUGAGAAUAAGCCAUGCGAGUUGAAUGGGAUACCUAAAGUUCCCAUAGCAAACUGCUCAGUAACACAUGAUCAACUUACCCUAUAGAGAAAAAUAACCUCGGGAAACUGAGGAUAAUGUUUCAUAAUUGAAUUGGCUUGGAAAAGUUUUUCAUGAAAAGGAUAAAAAAAAUGGUUUUUAUCUGCUAUAGGAUAGGAUCGUGUUCGAUUAUGGUUGUUGGUGAGAUAAUGGCUCACCAAGCCGAUAAUCGAUAGGGGCCGUGAGAGCGGGAGCCCCGAGAUGGGUACUGAGACAACGACCCAGGCCUUACGAGGCGCAGCAGGCGCGGAACCUCCGCAAUACACGAAAGUGUGACGGGGUUACCCAAAGUGUUCAAUUUGAACUGUGGUAGGUGAGUAAUGUCCCCUACUAGAAAGGAGAGGGCAAGGCUGGUGCCAGCCGCCGCGGUAAAACCAGCUCUUCAAGUGGUCGGGAUAAUUAUUGGGCUUAAAGUGUCCGUAGCCGGUUUAGUAAGUUCCUGGUAAAAUCGGGUAGCUUAACUAUCUGCAUGCUAGGAAUACUGCUAUACUAGAGGGCGGGAGAGGUCUGAGGUACUGCAGGGGUAGGGGUGAAAUCUUAUAAUCCUUGUAGGACCACCAGUGGCGAAGGCGUCAGACUGGAACGCGCCUGACGGUGAGGGACGAAAGCCAGGGGAGCGAACCGGAUUAGAUACCCGGGUAGUCCUGGCCGUAAACGAUGCAUACUAGGUGAUGGUACGGCCAUGAGCCGUAUCAGUGCCGUAGGGAAACCGUUAAGUGUGCCGCCUGGGAAGUACGGUCGCAAGGCUAAAACUUAAAGGAAUUGGCGGGGGAGCACCACAAGGGGUGAAGCCUGCGGUUCAAUUGGACUCAACGCCGGA
rnacentral:rRNA from 1 species